CGCCAUUAACCUUCCCCAACAUACUUUAAAAUACACUAUACCCUAAUUCCACCUACCCACCAUUAGCCGCCCCCUACCUUUCUCUCUCUUUUACAGUUAUUUUUUUCUCUUUAUCUCUCUCUCUUCCCUUGAACACUUCUACUUCUCAAGAGUUCAUUUCAUCAAUAAAUCAAUCACAUAUUUUUUUAUAUAUAUAAUUUUUGUUUGGUGUUUUAUUGAUAAUGCGUUGGCUAACUAUCAAAUGGAUAGAGACCGAUCAUUUUACAUCCGAGACAGUCCCCCAACAAUUAAAAAAAACUAGGAAAUGCAGAUUCUCUUCUACAGCCAGGCUAGAAAUUCGUCAGUUCGAGCAAGGCCUUGCUUGGCCAUUGAGUCAGCCACGAAGUUUGAGUUCCGGCUCUUGUGGAUGAUUUUAAUUUCACUCCCUGGUUCAUCACGUCUUCCACUAAUUUGCUCAUCGGAGAGCCUAUUCGUGUGUAAUCAAUCCCUGAACCAUCUAAAUUUAUUUGCAGCAGUUCUUCCUUGAAAUGAACUCUUGAUCCGUGUCCGUUGAAGUAAUUUCAAGUUUUCUUAAAGACGGACUCGUUUUCAGAAGCUCUUUUAAGUUUUGGUGCAAAAUCUGCUAGUGGAUGAAAACGAGGAUUACCAGGACUCUGAUGAGAUUGAUUGAAGAGUAUGAAGAUACAAGAGAUUGCAAGACCUUCAAUCGCCAUUCGUGAUUUUGAUCUUCUAUAUCUUUAUUAUUUUGCAUUUGAGUUUUAUUGUAAUUUUUGUACAAAUAUAAAAGAUUCUAUGUUGUAUAAUGAGAUUAUUCCGAUUUACAAAUCGCGUUGUAAAUGAUAUACUUGUAUUACUUUUCCUCAAAUUUUGUUAUUUCGACGCUUUUCCCUUUGA